AUCUAUGACCAUGACACCCUGAACGUGCCGGAUCUCAUCUGAUCUCCGAAGCUAAGCAGGGUUGGGCCUGGUUAGUGCUUGGAUGGGAGACCACCUAAGAAUACCAGGUGCUGUAGGUG
rnacentral:rRNA from 1 species